UCCAAGGCAGGGGGAGAGGCUGGCUUUGUCUGCAUCUUUGUCCCUUUCUUCCCUAAGCUUUUAUUCAAGUGAAACUGAAUCAGCUCUGAUUGUAAGCACCCCUCCUUCCAGAAACCAGGUCCGCAGCCGACUGUGCCCUUAGAGCUCUUUUUACUUCCACUCGUCGCCGCAGAGGCUUCCCCUCCUCUCGUGUUUUUGCUUCUCAAUUUGGGGGAUUUGGAUGCGCAGGGCUGGUCCGACACGACUCGGUUCGGAUCGGCUUUAGAGGGGGAGGAGGCAUCAGGGCCGAGUCGUGGGGAGUCAUCAGAUGUCUGGAUGCCGCUUCUGUCUGCCGCCGCCCGGCUCAACGUGGGGCUUUCAGCACCAGCAACCUGGACAGCGGCCGCGCCUUUGCAUGCAGGAGCGCCCCCGGCCUGCCGAUCCCGGCCGGUGGAUACAGGAGAAUGACCUCGGCUGCUUCUCCCCACUCCUCCUCCUGAUGCUUGCUUAGAGGCGACAGGCUUUGACGGGCUGCUCCCUUUCUGUGUCACUUUGGAUCCGCCGUCUUUGAGGCCGGCCGGGGAGGAGGAGCGCGGCUGCUUCCGGCUGCUAUUGUCGGCGGAGGAUGAUGGCUGCAUCAUGGUGUCAGAUGAUCAGCUCAUCCUCGACAACAUCAUCCCCUCCCUGUAGCUGCAACAUAACAUCACACUGAAUACAUAGUCGGAUGCUGAAGGGUAGUGGUGAUGAAGGCAGAAGGGAUGCCGACUCCACAGCCUCCCAUCCACCAGCCACUUCAUUUGCAUAUUCAUGACAUUACAUCAUCGCUAGAAGGGCUGCUGUCAUUGGUGGACCGAAACGAUACAGGAAACACACGACUCAGCAAUGCUCCUCCUCUCAACUGUCCAAUCGAUUUCUGCCCAAUAUUAUUAGGUGUCAUUGUGAUUCUUUCAGUGUUGACAAUGGGAACAUUUUCUUAUUCCUAUAUAAAUAACAAAUCUGCAGGAACAAAAAUGUUAAAUUCACCCAAACAGGCUUAACUGUGAGAAAGAGCCAUUUCAAAAACAGCUUUGUGUACAUAUUGUAAUAUAUCCAGUAGUAUUGUCCUGCAAAAUGAUUACCAAGAUGCAGCACCCAUUCAAUUCUCCAAUUCUUUCUGUAAUUCUCAUUUCUUUUAUCCCUACUAAUCCCCACAACCCGCACAUUGUCACAGUAAUAUAGGAUUCCUCACACAUAGUCAUUCAUCAGGAAUAAGUCAUUUCCAGGCAGGGUUUGAAAACUAUCAAUACAACAGAACGUAGGGCAGGGGUCUCCAACCAGUAGCCGGAGAGCUACCAGUAUCCCCAGCUAAUUUUGAGUAGAUCACUAUUCGCAUUUUUACUGUUCAAUUCAGACAUUAUGACUCUAUUCAAUGACAAAUUACGGUACUAAAAAAUAGCAAAAGAUUCAUGACGUGUGGUGAGAUUCAGGGCUUGUGAGGCACUGACUGAUUUGGAUUUUUUUUUAUGUUAAUACUUGAUCAUUAAGAGGAUAACAAGAAAAAGAAGAGAAUAAUUAACUUUCCUUAAAUAUUUUGUUUUCAAAUACUUUCUAGUUCCAAUUAUUUAUUUAUUUUUAAUAGACUAAAAAAUAUCUGUGGUCUUACCUUUUAUUUGUAUUUGAAGUACAUGUAAGCACCGAUACUUCCGAUCACCUUCUGUUGAGCAUGGAUACGUCAUCCGCCAUCUUGGGAGUCAAAUGAAUUAAUUACUGUAAUUCAGCACAUUACAAAACGUGAGUUGGGGAUAGCAACAUUUUGUUCUGGCAAAACAAGGUUGUUCAGUUUACAGUAAAUAGGUUACAAUAAUGAGUAGCUCUUAGCCACUUUUAUUUUUUAAACAUAGCUAUCAGAGGAUGGGCCGCACGGUGGUCUCCCCUGGGGUAUUUCUGUGUGGAGUUUGCAUGUUCUCCCCGUGCGUGGGUUUUAAUUGGAGACUCUAAAUUGUCCGUAGGUAUGAAUGUGAGUGUGAAUGGUUGUUUGUCUAUAUGUGCCCUGCGAUUGGCUGGCGACCAGUCCAGGGUGUACCCCGCCUCUCGCCCGAAGGCAGCUGAGAUAGGCUCCAGCAUACCUUCGCGACCCUAAUGAGGAGAAGCGGUUUUGAAAGCGGUAUAGAAAAUGGAUGGAACACAGAAGUUUGGAGACCCCUGCCAUAGGGAACAUCAUCGGCAUCAGUUAAUGCCCCAGGCAAGGUGUUGAGAGUUGGCUGCUGUUAUGAAGCAUAAUCAACUUUUAAAACAUCAUACUAAUACUUUUUGAAAUGAAUCUCAAACCUCAGCCUGGUUUAACAGUGAGCUUUUUGUGAAAUUGUGAAUGAAUAAAUGUUGAAUAAAUACA